rnacentral:rRNA from 1 species
GUAACAAGGUUUCCGUAGGUGAACCUGCGGAAGGAUCAUUAUCGAAGCUCUAAGGGGGGGGGGUCUUGCGUUCCGGUCGCCAGCGCCGGCUUCUGCCGUUUUGCAGCGGUGCCGGCUCGCCCCCUCGUCCAACCCUUCACACCCCUGUGCACCUUUUUAAAACCUUUCUCUGGAGGGGGAUGGCAAAAGGGCCGGCUGCGGGAACGCGGCGGGCCCCGAUCCUCCCCACCUGGGGGGGUUUACAAACUCUGUCGAAACGCGUGUGUUGCGCGGCCUCCGUGCCGUCCUAACAAACUUUGUAACAACUUUCAACAACGGAUCUCUUGGCUCUCGCAUCGAUGAAGAACGCAGCGAAAUGCGAUAAGUAAUGUGAAUUGCAGAAUUCAGUGAAUCAUCGAAUCUUUGAACGCACCUUGCGCUCCUUGGUAUUCCGACUCGAGGAGCAUCCUGUUGAGUUCUGGAAACAUCAGUCCCCCCGGGGUGCGUGCACCCUCGCGGGCCGGAUUGGACUUGGGGGCCUGCUGCCGAGAGGCGGCUCCCCUUAAAUGCAUCGGCGGCGGCCAGUCGACCCUUGGCGUUGUAUCACCCUCGCCUCAGAGGCGACCAGUGCCCCGCCCCGACCUGCCCGUUUGGAGUGGCGGUCAAACUGCCAUUUGAAAUUCUACCUCAAAUCAGUAGACCCUAGUCAAAAG